CCUUCAGCCUAAACUAGGGAAAAAUGUACUGUGUAAAUAUUCAGUGUUUUUCUUAGUUUUUAUCCCUAACAAAAUUUUUUACAGGACUUAGUUUAGUGAAUCUCCAGAGACUGGGUGUGAACGUGACUUUUCACCCCUGGGUCACGGGUCACUUCCUGCUUCUUCUUGUAAGUAAAAGCUCUUACUAUUCCAUGGGUCUGGCUGUACCCAGAAGUGGGGGUAGGGGUGAGGGAUGGGAGGGUGGAGUGGGGGAUGGGGGAAAACUCAAUGCCUAUUCAUUUCUCACAUUAUUUUAUUGUCAGGAACAUUUCUCCUCCCAUACUAAAGAGCUAAAUGUCAAACUUCUAUUCCAAAGUACAUGAAUAAAUUAAUACAUUCCUAGUGUAUGAAUUUAUUCAUGCAUUCAAUAAACAUCAUCGAAGCACUGUCAAUGUACUAGGCAUUGUGUUAAGCACUGGGAAAACAAAGAUAACUAAAAUAUAUUCCCUGUCUUCUACAUCUUCAAACAAACAGGAGAGACAGAUUCUAGAACAGUAAUUACAGCAAUUACAGUAAGUACUGUGAAAAAAAAAGAGCAAAAAACAUGUAACUCUGCCCAGGAAGGGCAACGAAGACUUCCAGGAGGUGGUGGUAUUGGAAUUGAUUUUUGUGAGCUAAGUAGGAACAACCAGAAGGCCAGGAAGAGGAAUGGCAUUUCAGACAGAGGGAGUGGCCAUGGAAAAACCUUGUUUUCACUUUGGGUAACGAGCAGUCUUUAAUGUUUUACUCUGACUAGGGUUCUGGGAACUUAGGACAAAAAAAAAAAAAGGUGGGAUAGGAUAGAAUUGGCCCAUGAAGUUUAGAGUUGAAACCAAGGAUCCCCAAAAGGCAACAUCCAGAGAUAAAAAUACACUUAAUCCCUAGUGGAAAAUAACACCUACACAUCAUCCUAAGGGCACCAAGUAAAAAGAAAAAAAAAAAUGCAGCAACUGGAGGCAGCACAAGUUUGGAGCUGUGAGGAGGGAAGUCUGGAGCUGUUAGGAAGAAGCCCUGGCACAGAGCUAUAAGGGACUUUUAGAGGUACCGUAAGGCCCAUCUGGGGUGGGGCACUGCAGUGUUAAAGACGCAGAACCUGUUCAGGCAAGAGUGGAAGCAAGAGGACGCAUACCACAGUCUGGAAUUGACAGUCAUCCUGACAGAUGCCCUGACAAUUGAAAAAGAUGGUAGAAAAGGGGGAGUCAGGGGCUACAUCCUCAGGAGCCUUGAACAUCAUCUUCCCAGCAGGGAUUUCCCAAGGGUAACAUGGGUACCACUGGUAAGAACCAAUGUGUCAUUACAUGGUACACAAACAAUGUUUUAAAGACUUGUAGUAGAUAUGUACUGAUUUUCUAGUUUUAUACAAACUAGAAAAAAUGUGUAACUAACACGAAAUCUGCAAUUACACAGAUAGGAAGAUUGCUUAAGAAGAAGCUAAUAUAAAAGCACCAUGGUGAGUUGAUCUUUUUUAAAAAAAAUAAGAAUAUACCAAAAGAGGUGCUACACAAAUAUAGCAAAAAUUGAGAAGGUAGUCUAUAAAUGACCGAAAUUUGAAAAUAGUGGCAGUAGGCAGUGGAGAAUCUCUGAAAAGUGUAAGCAUUGGACUCUAUUUUGUAAUGUUGCUCUUUUGGGGAAGGGGAGACUAAAGAUACCGAUUAAGGGAGGUUGUAUUUAUUGUCCAGAACCACAACGGACUCUGCAUAGUUUUCAGGUUCAUAUUUCAAGAUAAACUCUAAUUUCAAUCCUGAAGUACUUGGACAAGUCUUUAAGAACCUCUUUUUACUAAUUUGAAAUGUCCAUAGCUUUAUUUUCAUCUUAAGUAACUUAGUGUGUAUAUUUACAUGAAUAAUUUUAUUAGAAACGUGCAGUGCUCAAAAUGAUUUUUAUGGUGUAGGAUAGUAGGGGAAAAAGCUAUUGAAUGUUGGAUAGAUCUGUGUCUUUGUAACAAUUUGGUCAAUCUGAUUUACAUAGACCCUAGUGUCUCAUUUUGUGCUUAGGUCUGGUACAUUUUCUAUUAACCAUGUUUUUUUAUUUUCUGUAGUUCAUGAUGCUUUGACAUCUUGGGGCAUCUUGCAGACCAGGGAUGGACUGCCCCUCCCAGGUUUGGCUAAUUCCUGGAGAUACUAAACAACUCGGCUUAGAACACAUCUUUUAUAUGCAAGACAACAAAUCCAGGCUCCAUACCCUCAUCUCAUCCUUUUAUCAGGCUCCUCCAGCACAGAACAUUAUCCUCCUGCUCUAAGUCACCCAGAGCCAGGAGAAUUUUACCCUCUUGUCAGUCUUGGCCAUGUGAUUUCAUCUGGCAAAUGACAUGGGAGUGGAAGUGACAUGCCCAGAAGAUUUGAGAGCUGUGGUGAGAUCCCAUCAUUUCCCUUCUGACACAAGGCACACCACAUCCCCAGAUGGAGGUAUUCUGUCAAUCUGGAUCCCAAAGUGAAAAGGAUGAAGGACAAAGUCACAACUGAUGGAGAGCCAUCAUGGAAGAUGAGGAAAAUAUUAGCUUUACUCUUACAAAGCACUGAGAUUUGAGGGUCACUUGUUCUUGCAGCAUAGCCCAGCAAAGAAUGACCGAUACACUUUUCUUCACAAAACCUCUGUCUAAUUGAACUCAAACUCUGAACCAUACGCUGAAUGAAAGAAUGGUCCGUUCCUAUUUCGAUAGGUCAACCCUCAUUUUUAUAAGUGCACAGCUUCAGGAAGGCACACAUGCAGUCAUGAAGGGAGAAAGUGGAGUUCUCAACUAUUGAAGCCAGUGAGCUAACUUCUGCAUUCACCGACAUGAAACAUGCUGAAGUCUGUUUGCCUUGCAGUUCUCUGCUGGAUGUGCCAAGAGGGCUCUAUUUUAGAGAAGGAAAACUAACAAUAGAUUCCCGCCAACUAAAAGGGGAUUUCUUUUCCUGGGAAGG
rnacentral:lncRNA from 1 species